rnacentral:lncRNA from 1 species
GUACUGCCCAUACUGGAUGUGGGUGGGUGGACCCAUCCCACGGACCACUGAGGAGGGACCUACAGCUCCAUUCCAGCAAGGCAAGGCAAGCUGGUUCCCAGUGGAGGUAUAUCUCCAGCCUCAACAGGUUCCAGAGCAUGGAGAGCCCCGGAAUCCAUCUCUUUCAGCCUCCUGACUGUGGACACAGUAAAGUGAACAGCUGGGGUUGUGCACAGAAACAAAAUUAGUGUUCUAGAAACCCAUCAUUGCUGGAUUGACACAAAGACCUUUCCCGUGCUUUAUGACACAAGCACUGAGUCACAGAGGGCCCGCGGCUCCUAGCACCUGAGAAGCCCUAGCCGGUUGGGCUAAAUUUUGCCCGCGUGGGGCUGAUGGGGAAAGAUGGAAUUUCUUGGAACCAUUCAGACAGCGAGUUACUGUGGCUCCAAGAAAGACUGUGACUUCCAGGGGCUGCCCCCUGCUGGGCAGGACCCUAUGGUACAGGAGUGCUACCACCAACCCUUUCACCUGCCCCGGUGCCGCUCUGCGUGGAGACCCAGAGUCUUCUACAAGGUCGCCCCCAGCCAGACAUGUCCGGAUUGCGCAGGCGACCGGCGGCCGC